CUUUUUUUUUUUUUUUUUUCAUAAUGUGGUGUUCGGUCCAGCUUGCGGACACCUCCACUAUUUCCACAUAAUACCUACCACCUCCCACCAGCAAAGUGACAGGUAAAUCUGUCCACCAAGUCUAAAGCAGAUGGAACAAAAUGGAAAAAUGGGGUUCUUUCAAACAACCAAACUAGUAAGAUAACUUCUUUAACCACAUUUUGAGGCAAUUAAGCUAUACACUUCUUUCUACACCAUAUUAAAUAUACUAUAAUUUAUUCCGCAGAGGAAAAAUAAGAAUGCAACAUCACCAGCAGCAUACAAGCAAAACCCAUCCUCUAUAUAUAAGUUUAUGGGGAAAAAAUACAUUCUUUCAGCAAACAAACUAGUAAAUACAACUUCUUUUAACCAAAUUUUUGUCCAAUUAAGCUAUAAUUCACUUCUUCUUACAAUUUCAAUUCAACACAGAAAAUCAAGAAUUCAACAUCACCAAUAGCAUACAAGUAAACUCAUUUUUAGCAAUUCCUUUUUUUUUUUCCACUGCCAAAAUAUAUCUAAACAUCAAUUUAAAGAAUUUGGGGGAGAUGGUCUAGUGGUUCAGAAAUCAGAACCAUGAGUUCAAGUUCAAUUCCCAACGGAGAAAAAAAAAAUACUAGCCAUUUGUUCGGACAAAAUUACUGUGCAAUUAAUUGAGGUGCCUAAAUGCUGACUCGAGCAUAAUUUUUUUUUCCUGGGAGAGCAAAAAGAAAAACGAAAAAAAGAAAAAGAACCUGUCACGGAUUUGGAGUUGGUCAAUCAUAGCAGCCAUUCUUUGUUGGUCAGCUUGAUUAAGAGAAUUCAAAUCACCCAUCAUACUCGUGUCCAUUUUUUUUUUCACUUAUUGAUUUAUUAUCAACAAAAAUAUGUAGUAACUAUUUAGGAUUCAAUUAUAACAAAAAGAGUUCUGUUUUAUUAUAUUCCUUAUAUUUCAAAUUUCAAUGAACCCUAAAUAGUUGUGUGUGACGUGAGAGAUUAGUUAACACUUAAGUUUCUGUAGAACUCCCUCUUGAUUUAUGAAAUUGCACUUAAGUACACAACUUUUUGCAACAAAAAAAAGGGCUUUAUCCAAGGGUAAAAAGUUUUAUUUCCUUGAAAAAUAAGUUAAUUUAUUAUUUAUUUUUCAGAGAAAGGUCAAAUGUACCCCAAACUUUCGAAAAUAGUAUGCAAAUAGCCAAAUAGCUUUUGUUAUAUUUUUAGGUUGUCAAUGCCCUUAACAUCAUACUUUUGGGGCGUAUAUACCCUGAAGUGUAACAGAUAGACACAUGGGGUGUGUUUGGUAUGAAGGAAAAUGUUUUCCUGGAAUGGAAAACAAGUUGAUUUCUUUCUUACUUAUUUUCUUAUGUUUGAUUGGUGGAUGAAAAAUAUUUUCUAGUAUUUGGUUGGUGAAUGAAAAAAUAUUUUUCAAAAAAUACAUUUUAGUGUUUAAUUAAAGCGUAAAAAUACAUUUUAGAAUUCUUUUUUAAAAAAAUAAAUUAAAAAAAUUAAAGUUUUUUGGGGAAGGGGUUGGUAGGCGGGUGGAUGGGGGUGUCAGAAUAGGUAGUAGGGGUGGGGUAAGAAAAGAUUUUGAAUUUUUUUCGUUAAAAAAAAUUAAAAAAUUGGCUGGGGAAGGGGGCUUAGUAGGAGCUGGGGAUCAGGGUAGGGGAGUGAGGGGGAAGGGGGAAGAAAAAAAUUUUAAAAAUUUAAAAAAUAAAUUUAAUUUUUUGUAGGUGGUUGAGAAUUAUUAUAUAAUGCAGGUUAUUACUUGUUUCUCCGUCCCAUAUUAGUUGAUCACUUUAGUAAAAAUACAUAUUCCAAAUUACUUGUCCACCUACUAAAUCAAGAUCAAGUUAAUUAAAAUUUUUCCAUUUUCCUCUUCUUUUUUUUCCUGUUAAAAGAAAUUACUUGAACAUUAUUCCAAGAAUUUAAUUUUUUCCACUGAUAGGGCAUUGAGAGUGGAGUAGAUAAUUUUGAGAAUUGUAUGAAUAUUUUAACUUUAAAGUGGGGUUGAAAGAGAGUUUUGAAAAUGUUUUUCUUAUUUUUUGAAGGGAAGUAAUUUUCCUUAUAUUUAAGGAAAAUAAGUUGGUUUGAAAAAUAUUUUUCAAAACAUAUAAGCCAACCAAACAUAAGAAAACUGGAAAAUAUUUUCCUUCGUACCAAACACACCCAUGGUAUCUCUUAUGGUUAAUUUAGGUUUUAUAGUCUGAAUCAGAUUAAUUUUUUUGUUUGGCAAUAAAACGAAACUUUAUUAAUCAGCAAGUAAUGUGUUAUAAGCCAAGAGAAGUGCAAUACAAUUACAGACUACUCAGCACCUACUAAACAAAUAACCCAUAUCACUACUUCACAGAACUUAUAUAAGUAAAUAAACUAUAGUUUGAUCUAACUCGAGUACACAUAUCAAUUUGCAUUUGAUGAACUAAACCAUCUAUUGAUGUGCUCCGCUGUUGAACAAUCUCUAGUGUUUCUUUUAAUCCAGAUAAUAGUGUACAUUGUAGUAGUAAGACUAGUCUUCAGUAUCAACUCUCUGGGAUGCUUACUUCUAGCCAAUUGAUUUAUCCAUAGCCAUAUUGCAUUCCAACCUCUUGAACAUCCUUGCAAUUUCUGUCAUCUUAAGAUAGAGUCCCACAGUUUAUAUAUAUUGUCACGAUCAAAGAACAGGUCACAGGUGAUCUCUAGUUCCAUUAUGCAGCCGACAAAACAUACACUUCUCAUCAACAAUCAUAUCCUAGUUGACAAGCAUAUUCUUUUUUCUAAUUCUAUUUUGUUGGCAUAGCCACACAAUAAAUACUUAUUUAGGCUCAGUAAUGUUAUGACACUAAACUCAUUUCCAAGCAACAUUUUCAACUUCUCCUCUCAACACCUUAGAAGCUUUAGAGAUCUAAAAUUUUUCCUGAGAGAUUAUAUCAACAGUAAUGCUCAGAUUCUGACAAUAUUUUCUCAUUGUUACUGCUUUUCUGACCAUCCAGGAAGCUUGCAUUGGCAUUUGUAAAGUGUAUAAGUUCCCCUUUAUGUAGUAUUGAAGCACCCACGCUAUCCUUAUUUUCUCUUUGUAUUAACUUAGAGCCCACAAUAACUUGCAAAUAACAUCAGUAUUCUAAAGUCUCCAGUUUAUAAUGUCCAGUGCUCCUGCACUCUUUGAUAAGCAUAUUUUGUCCCAUGCCACUAAGGCUCUUUUAGUUAUAACAACUUCACCUGACUAUAAGUAGCUUCUAGAUGUAGCCUCAAUUAGUUUAAUCACUUUCUUUGGCAUUAAAACAGUUAGGACCGAUAGGCUCGUAUCCUAAAUAACACAAACCUGAUAAGUUGUAGUCUACCUGCAUUGGUAAGAUAUUUUGCCAUUCAACUUGUAACUCUUGCAGCAAUCUUCUCUAUCAAUGACUGACAUUGAGCAAUAGUGAGUCUCUUAGUAAAGAGGGGGACACCAAGGUUUUAAAGGGCAAAUUACCUUUUUCAUACCCUAAAGCCUGCAAAAUAUCUUGCUACACAUGAAAAUUCACUCUACCAAAGUACACCUAGAGUUUAGACAUGUUUGCUUUCAAAACUGUAGCUUCAGAGAACAUAUCAAACUAUCUUUUUAGGAGCAAAACUAAAGAUAAGUCACCCUUAGUAAACCUAAGGAAUCAUCAGCAAAACAAAGGUGAGUAAAGUUUAAUUUUUUACACCUAGGAUAGUAGUUACAGUCAUGUUACUUCUGUAAACCAGUCAUGCAUCUAUUAAAAUACUCCAUUAUAAUGACAAAAAGGUAAAGGGACAUAGGAUCCCUUUGCCUUAAUCCCCUUUUAGCUUGAAUUGUAUUUGUAAGAGUUUCAUUCACUAGAAAAGUGUAGUUCACAGUUGUAACACAUAGCAAGAUCCAUUGAAUCAUCAGACAAGGGAAACCCAGCUCCUUCAAAAUUUGCUUCAAGCACACCCAUUAUAUACCAUCAUAAGCUUUUUAUAAAUCAACUUUUAUCAUACACCUAGUGUAACCUUUGAUCAAUUUAUGACUAAUUAAGAUAUUGUCUGAGAUGAGUUUACCUGGUACAAAGGCUUUCUGAUACUGUCCUAGAAUACCAUCUAAUACACCUUUAAUUCUAUUGGUAAUCACGUUAGAGAUAAUUUUAUAUAUGAUAGUACAACAAGCUGUAGAUCUGCACUCUCUUAUUGUCUUAGGCUUGGAUGUUUUAGGGAUCAAAUUAACAAUAGUAUUAUUUGCAGUUGUUAGUAAUUUUCUCUUACCAACUAGUAAUUUUCUCUUACCAAAUAAUUCUUACACUGUAUCAUGAAUAUCAUUUUGAAUCACCUUUCAAGCUUUCUUAAAGAAGUAGGUCGAGUAUCCGUCUAUCCUAUGAGAUUUGUUACUAUCAAUAUUGAAAAGUGCCUGUUGAAUUUCCUACAUAGUAACUUCUCCGCACAUAGUUUAUUGUUGCUGCAGUGUAAGGCUUGGUCCCAGCCUUAUGCUUAAGAUAUUUAUUGCAGAUAUAUCUGAGGAGGUAGAUCCUAAUAAUUUUUUCUAAAAAUAUAGUAUCUUAGCCUCAAUAUAUUGUGCCUUAUGCAACACUUUACCACCACUAUCUAUCAGCAAAAAUAUAGCAUUGGAACUUGCUCUAGCCUUCAUACAUCUAAAGAAUAACUAUUAUUACCAUCCCCUACUUCAAUCCAGUGAACCUUAAGUUUUUGUUUAAAAAUCUUAUCCUUCAAAGUCGACUAUUUGUGGAGUUUCGGCUAGCCUUUGUUUCCUCUACUACAUCAGGACUUACAAAAUUCCUUAAGAGGCUCUACAUAUGAAGCACAUUUUCUCCAACAACUUAUAUCUUUCUCUCUAAGCUUCUCACAUAUACAUUCUUCAAUUUCUUUAGAGGUUCUUUGCAUAACUGUAAAUUCUUCCUUAACUUAUACAUGCAUGUGUCAUCAGCAAAUGUACUCCAAACCUAAGCAACAAGUGGGAGAAACUUUUCAUUAUCUGCAAGGAUAUUAAGAAAUUUAAAAGGUUUUUUAGUUUAUGAUCUUUCAGCUGCAAUAUCCAUAUGUACAUGUGAGUGGUCAGAGAAACAAUUACCAAAGAACUAAGUUGUGAUCCCUCCAUGGGUUACAGAACGCUCUAUCAAUUGUACUCCAUAUAUGUUUGUUAGUCCGAGUAAAAUUCUUUCUCAUUACUUUUAUAUCUAUCAAGUUGAGGUUAUCCAUAAUUAUUUGAAGGUCAUUUAUCUCAUUUACAUAAACUGGUUAUCCACCCAUUAGAUCAUCACUUGUGAGGAUAGAGUUGAAGUCCCCAAAAAUACAUCAAUGCAUAGUGUUUCCAGUUCUUAUAUGAGUAAGCCUCUCUUAGAGUUCCUUCUUUUCUUCCAGGCUAUUACUACCAUAAACUAUAGUCAAUGCAAUGCACACCUAAAGUCAGACCUUCUAUCUUGGAUUACACAGUGAAUGAAUUGAGUAUGACAUGUCUGUUGCGAGUUACUAACUUCAGCUUUCUUUCAUAUUAGCCAAAUUUUUCAAGUUGAAUUAGAGUAAUAAUUGUGAAUACAAGCCCAUCCUUUUGCACAUCUAGCUAAGCUCUCCUGAAAUUUAUGAUGCUUGAUUUUGGUUUCUACAAGUUCAACUAACUAUAUAUGAUUUGUCUUUAUAUACUCCCUUAUUUUUCUUUGUUUGAGAGGACUGUUUAAGCCUAUCAUAUUCCAGACUAAUCAUUUCAUUGGGACAAAAGGUUUUCCCCCUCUUCAAAGGCCUUUCCUUAUCCUAUGCAACCACAUUCACAACUGCUAAAGAAGAGAAUGAAUUUUGAAUCCUCAAUGUAGGUCCUCUUAAUUCUCUUACAGAGUUAUACAUCACUAAUUAUGCAUAUGACAUACUCCUCAUUCAACUAUUAAAAGAAAUAACUUUACUUAUAUUUGCAUCAUAUUUUUAGAGUUAUCGUCCCUGAGGUUCCUAGAGUAGUUAGCUUUUUAUUCAAACCAACAACAGGUUUAGGAACUACAAUGACUUCUCAACUACUAUAACACCCUUCCCUAUCUAUUUCUGCACCAUUUUUUUGUCUUCUUGAUUAUCAAGCCUUUUUUCUUUAUUGUUGCUUCGUUGGUCUAGUGUUGUCAAGCUUAACAGGAGGUAUUGUUUUCUUUUCUGGACAUACAUGUCCAUAUAUUUAUCAAAUAGGUCAAGAUAGGGGUUUUUAGUAAUAUGUAACGGGCUUCGUGAACACUCUUCCAUUAGGAUUAAUUAUCUCAAUUUCCUUAGGCAAAUCUUGAGUGAUGUUCAUAUCAACUAGCACUCUUGCAUAAGAUAUCCUGGAUUGAGUCUUAGUGCACUUAUCUACAAAUAGAGGUUCUCCCAAUCUACUAACCAUUUUACUCAAUGUCUUCGGGUUCAAUAAUUGAGAGGAAGCUUAUAAAAAUGUACCUAUAGUGGAAUUGUGCUUGGGAAUUAAGUUUGAAAAUGAAACACCCUAGUUUCUGGACCUUAGAAAAUUUCUGGAAUUCUGAUCUCUGGACCCAAUAUAACUCAUGGGUACGAGCCGUAUGUUGGGGUACGGAUGGUAUGGUCCGGUUGUAUACUGACCAGUGUUGGUUGGUGGGAUGGAUUUUGAUUACUAGAAUUGACACGAAUUAGGGGUAUGAGUCGUAUUGUUGGUUACCGAUCAUUUGGUUCCUUAACUUAAUCUUAGACUUGGUUACUUAUGUUGGAUCUGAGUAAGAGUGGCUCACCAUGAGUUGUAAGCCAGGGUACGAAUCAUACCAGGGACUCGUUUGGUAAAUAGUGUCCAAUCCUCCUAGUAAUUUAUUCUGCUAGGGAUAUUGGGUCAUGGAUACGAAUUAUAUGUUGUGGUUACGACUUGGUUGGAUGAGUCGUAUACUGGAUAUGGUUGAUCCAAGGGUUGAGGCUUGGAUAAGAGUGUUGGAAACCAAUCAUAUUGGGAGGGUACGACUCGUGAGGGUCAGUUUUAUCCCUGUGAUGGGAUUUUGUGCAACUUAAGUGGAGGUAUUCUAGAUAUUUCUCUACUUAUCCUAAUAGGGUUCCACGACUUCUAAGCUACCUGAAAGGUUAUUUAUCCUAAUAUUCUAUUCAUUAAUACUUAGAAACUCUUCCAAAACAUUUCAUAAUUCUCUUAAGAACUAUUGGGUAAGGGAAUCUAGGGUUUCAACUAGGGUAUUAAUUUGGGGCUUAUCUUGGUAAUUUUAUUCCGCCAUUGCCUUGGUUUAAGACAUGUUUCUCUUCCCUCAUUAUUAAUUUAAUUAAAGGCAUGGUUUAUAUGAAUAUUUUCGUAGUUUUACUAGUGUAUGACUUUAGCUUUCAAAUAUGAUUUGGGGAGGAGCUGAUGUUAAUUGCUUGGUUAUGAUUUCCCAUGGUUUUAAUUAUGCUUUUAUAUGCAUUAAUGGUGGUUUUAGAUAAUUGGAUUGGAUGGGAAUGGUUUAUUCACAGUUAGAAUUGGUUUUGGUUAUAUUAUGCCCCCAAUGUGUUUGACAAAAUGCUUAUAAAGAUAUGUUCAUUGCAUCGACUUCUUUUAAUGGAAUUCUUGCAUAUUUUAAACUUGGCAAAAUAAUUAUACAUGAUUUAAAUAGUUUGGAAAGACUAAAGGCUAACUGGUUAUGCUUGUAGGGAACAUGAAAGUCUUCCAAGUAGUUUAAUAUGGUAAAUAGAAGGGCACUUAAAAGUUAUCUUAAACCUAUAAAUGGUUGGAUAUAGAUGAUACUUGCAAGUAAGGGUUGGUAUGACGAUACUAAUAGCAAUGGCCUUGGUUAGUAAAUGGAAAUGGUUUUGUUAUUUGAAAAUUGGUUUUAAUUGGAAAAUAAUGGCGGGAUGUGUAGCAAAGUCGUAGAAGGUAGAGGUCCCGGGGGGACAAAAACUGGAAACUCAUAUUUGUCGAUAUGAGGUUGGUCUUGGUGUCGUAUGCAUAAUGUCACACUUUAUUUUGGGGAUGUACUAGUCAUCCCAUAUGAUACUUCCCUGGUCGCGUGGCUACACGCACUGGGGCCCUUUUAGUGGGGGGGAGCUGAACCCAUAUAGCCCCCGGGUGAUUUAGGACGGCAAAGCUACACAAUCCAGGUAAAGGUUUUAAAGGCAUGCUAAACCCGAUCCCUUUUUUCGGCAUGGAUAUAUAUAUAUAGGUGUAUGAUGUAUGAUUGUAUGCAUCAUGGAUAGUUUUACUUGGUUUUAUAAAUGACAUUCUGAGAUCAUGCUAGUGGUCACUCGCUAACCCCAUCUACUGACGGCUGUAUACCCACGUUAUAUAGGAACCAGCUGUUCUACUCUUCCUACAUAGUGAUUGACUCGAGGACAGUAUUUGGACUAAAGUGGUGAGCUUCUAUCCUUUCGGAAGACAUCAUUUCUUGUUAUAGAUAUUUUUAGAUAUUUUGACUUUAUUUUGGAUAUUGGUUUUGGCUAUGGUUGGGGGCAUGUCCACAAAUUCGGAUAGAGGAUUUAUGGUACUUCUAUGGAUUGGAAUGGGCGGGAUCGGUAUUGGUGUCGACCUUGGCAUUGGAAUAAGCCGGUGGGCUAACAUUAUUAGACGAUAUUAUUGGUUGUUCUAUUCUAUUACAUUUUGGGAUUAAUUAUAUUAUGUUUUAGAAUAUCCUUGGUUAUGGCAUUUGUUUGGUAUGGUUGGAUUAUUGGUAUGAGAGGGGUGACCUCGGUUAGGUUGGUCACGAUUGUGAUCUAUUCCUAGAGUUCUUAUGUGAGCUGUUAUACUAUUUUGUUACAUGCUGGAAUUCAGCCAACUCAGGGCAGGCUACUGGAGGUUGGGUUGGGUACUGGGGGUGGUCUUCAAUCCUAGUCGAACUUAGGAUGCCCAUUACGACAAGGCCUAGGGGGUUGUGUCAAGUUGGUAAGAGUCUAGGUUCAUGGUCAAUUAAGAGUCCACAAAGUCGUAUCGAGUAGAGUCUCUUUUUGGGGUGUGUAGCGCGCCAUACUCAUAAGGAAGAGGCUAUAAGGCAUUUAAGAAUGUUUUACUUUCUUUGUAUUCUAUCUUUGAGCUUAAAUUCUCAGUCCUGGAAUCUUCUGUAAUCCUUAUUUAUUCAUCUUUCAGAUCAUACCUCAUAAAUACGGAUUACAAAAAAAAUCUUCUAUCCCAUCUAGAGGUAAUACUGAAGGGGUGCAUCCUACUUCUGGGGUUUAUCUUUGAUCUCACGGUCCUAUCCCUAAUAGUUCUGGAGUUCCACUGAUUGCUACUAGUCCUCCUUAAGGCAAGGUGACUAAUGCAGAAUUUCGUCAGUCUAUUCAUGUUAUUGCUAAGUUGGUUGCUGCUCAGGCUGACCGGGAUAUGUCUGAUGCUUUGUCAGCUGAGGCCACAAGGGUUGUCUAACUUAUGAAUAUGAGUCCUCCCACUUUUUCUAAAGUGGAGAUGGAGGAAGAUCCACAAGGCUUCCUGGAUGAGAUGGAAAAUAUAUCUCGGGUGAUGCAGUCUACCAAUGGUAAGGGGUAAACUUUGCAUAGUAUGAGCUCAAAGAGGUUGUAUAUCAGUGGUAUAAAGAGUAGGAUAGGGAUAGAGGUGAUAUGGAAGAGGAAGGUUUGUAAGAGGCCUUUUCUAACACCUUCUUGGAUCAAUUCUUUUUCCAAGAGCUGGGGAAAGAAAAGAUGGAAGAGUUUGUGAACCUCAAGCAGGAGAGAAUGUCUGUCAAGGAAUAUGCCUUGAAGUUUUACCAGUUAUCAAGGUAUGUUCCUGAUUUAAUGGCUAGCAUGCGGGCUAGAAUGAGGAAGUUCAUUUCUGGGUUAAAUUGGGAUUUAUUUUGGAGAGCAAAAAUACCUUGAUGAUUAAAGAUAUGGACAUCUCUAGGUUUACAGUUCAUAUACAGUAAGUGGAGUAUGAGAAGAGGAAGCAGGCAGUGUUCAAAGAUAGGCAGGGAAAGAUGAGAAGGUUUUCUGAUCAGGAAGGUGCUCAAUCUUAUGGUGGUAGAGAUGGUGGCAAGUGGCAGAAAAAAAAAGAGUUCUGGUGCCUACUCUUCUGCUAGUGUUCCUUACCAGUCGAGCAACAGGCGACAUUAUGGUGGUGACAAUUCUCGGGCACAAGGUGCCUAAUCUCAGGCGAAUGAAGGUCAUUCAAUUUUUUGAUGUGGUCAUCCUCAUUGUGAUUAUUGAGAUGAAGAAAAGGAUAGAUGCUUCAGUGUGUCCAGACAGGCCAUCGACUCAGGAAUUAUCUGGUUAAUAAGGUUGCUAUGGGGGAAAAUAAGAUUUUUGUGGCUUCAUUUUCUGCUUCUACACCUAGUGGUGUAGCACCUUCUUCUAUUACUGCUCUUGGUUCUAGUGUUGGUUGAAAUAGUUUAUAUGCUUUGGCAUCCCAACAGGAAUUCGAGGCAUCACCUGAUGUCGUUACUGGUACGUUAUAGCUUUUUUCUUGUAACGUAUAUUAUUUUCUUAAUUCAGGGUUUACUCUUGCCUAUGUGACUCCUUAUGUGGUUAUAUCUUUUGGUUUUGAUCCAGAAGUUAUUUCGAAUUCUUUUUCUAUUUCUACCCCAGUAGGUGACUCGGUUAUUGCUAAUAGAGUCUAUAGGGUGUGUGUGGUAUAUGUUGGUGGAAAGCAGACCUUGGUGGAUCUGUUUGAGUUAGAUAUGGUGGAUUUUGAUGUUAUUCUGGGUAUGGACUGGUUAUACUCUUGUUACGCAGCUUUGAAUUAUCGGACCCGUAGGGUUAUCUUUAGGUUUUCUAGUGAAUUGGUUAUAGAAUGUGAGGGAGCUUCUUUAGCUCCUAUGGGGAGGUUUGUUUAUUAUCUUAGAGUUCGGAGGUUAAUCUCCAACAGUUGUCUUUAUCACAUGGUCCGAGUUAAAGAUUCUAACUCAGAUGGUCCUUCUUUCCAGUUAGUUCCAGUGGUUAAUAAGUUUUCAAAGGUCUUUCCAGAUGAUCUUCCUAGUGUUUCUCCAUAUAGGGAAAUAGAGUUUGGUAUUGAUAUAAUUCCGGAUGCUUAUCUAAUUUUUAUUCCUCCGUAUAGAAUGACUCCGGCUGAGUUAAGGGAACUCAAGGAGCAACUUAAGGAUCCUCUAUAUAAAGGGUUUAUUCAUCCUAGUAUAUCUUAUUGGGGUGAACCAGUGUUGUUUGUGUGCAAGAAGGAUGGUUCCCUUCGGAUAUGCAUUGACUACAGGCAGUUGAAUAAGGUGACGGUUAAGAACAAGUAUCCUCUUUCAAGGAUAGAUGAUCUGUUUGACUAGUUGAAAGGUUCCAAGUUCUUUUCUAAGAUAGAUCUUUGGUCGGAGUAUCAUCAUCUAAAGAUUAGGGAGGUGGAUAUCCCUAAGAUGACUUUUCAUACUCGGUAUGGGCACUUUGAGUUUCUGGUGAUGUCAUUUGGGUUGACUAAUGCUUCGAUAAUAUUUAUGGAUCUGAUUAAUAGGGUAUUCAGUCAGUAUUUAGAUCUCUUCAUCAUUGUGUUUAUUAAUGAUAUUCUGGUUUAUUCGAAGAGCAAGGUGGAUCAUAGUAAUCACCUUCGUAUGGUGUUAUAGACCUUAAAAGAACAACAGUUAUAUGCCAAGUUCUCCAAGUAUGAGUUUUAGUUGAACGUUGUGACUUUCUUGGGUCAUAUUAUUUGUAGUGAAGGGAUCGUGAUAGGUCCAUAGAAGGUUGCUGUGGUGAAGAGGUGGCCUAGACUUAUGAUUUCAUCCAAUAUUCGGAGCUUCUUAGGUUUAGCCGGAUAUUACAGACGGUUUGUGGAAAGCUUUUCAUCAAUAGUUGCUCCUUUGACUAAUUUGACUCAGAAGAAGGUUAAUUUUUCUUGAUCAGAUGCUUGUGAAUGGGAGUUUUAAGAAGUUAAAGGAUAAGUUAACUUCGGCUCCAAUUCUGACUUUGUCGGAAGACAGUGAUAGGUUCGUGGUUUAUUACGAUGCAUCUCGGGUAGGUUUUGGUUGUAUGUUGAUGCAGCAUGAGAAGGUGAUUGCCUAUGCUUCCAGACAUUUAAAGGUACAUGAGAGGAAUUAUCCUACUCGUGAUUUGGAGCUAUUGGCGGUUGUGUUUGCUUUGAAAAUAUGAGGGCAUUAUUUGUAUGGUGUCCACGUGGAUAUCUUUUCUGAUCAUAAGAGUCUACAGUAUGUGUUCACCUAGAAAGAGCUUAAUCUCAGGCAAGUAAAUGGCUUGAGCUUCUCAAGGAUUAUGAUAUGAGUCUUUACUAUCACCCACGUAAAGCUAAUAUGGUUAUUGAUGCUCUUAGCAGGUUAUUCAUGGGGAGUUUUGCUCAUGUAGAGGAAAGAAAACGAGAAUUGGUGAAGGAUAUUCACUGCUUGGCUAAUCUUAGAGUUCGUCUCUUAGACUUCAAGGAUGGCGGUGUGGUGGUGAAAGAAGUGGUUAGAUAGUCUCUUGGAGCGAAGAUUAAAGAAAAGCAAGUGUUGGAUUCUAUCUUAAUAAAAAUUAAGAGUGACAUUGGUGGGAAAAAGGUAGUGGUGUUUGAGAUCGGUGGUGCUGGUACUUUACGGUACCACGGGAGGUUAUGUGUUCCUGAUGUCGAUGGGUUGCGACAAAGGAUUUUGGCUGAGGCACAUGAGUCAUGCUAUGUUGUUCAUCUCGGCUUGACUAAGAUGUAUCAUGAUCUCUAAGAGAUCUAUUAGUAAAAAGGUAUGAAGAGGGAUGUGGCUGAUUUUAUGGUCAAGUGUAUGGUGUAUUAACAGGUUAAGGUUGAGCACAUGAGGCCAGGGGGGUUGUAUCAAGAAAUUGAUUUGCCCGAAUGAAAGUGGGAAGUAAUCAACAUGGACUUCGUUACAGGUCUUCCUCAGUCUCAAAGUUAAUAUGAUUCGAUUUGGGUCAUCAUGGAUAGGAUGACUAAGUUUGUGCACUUUUUGCUAGUCCGGCCUACUUUUUCUGUGGAGAAUUAUGUGAAGUUGUAUCUUCAGGAGAUGGUAAAGCUGCAUGGGUACCUGUUUCGAUUAUUUCUGAUUGUGGCACGCAAUUUACAUCUCACUUCUGACGGUCUUUCUAGAAAGGGUUGGGGACUAAGGUGAGUCUGAGUACUGUUUUUCAUCAGCAAGCGGAUGGGUAAGUGGAGAGAACUAAUCAGACAUUGGAGGAUAUGCUUCGAGCCUGUAUGAUUGAUUAUGGUAGAAAUUGGUUUAAGCAUCUACCUUUGGUGGAGUUUGCUUACAACAAUAACUAUCAUUCUUGUAUUGGUAUGGCCUUUUUUGAGGUAUUACAUGGUAGGAGGUGUAGAUCUCCUAUUGGUUGGUUUGAAUUUUGUGAGGCGGACAUGUUUGGUCCCGACUUGGUCUACCAGGCCAUAGAAAAGGUGAAGGUGAUUUGGGAUAGGCUUAAGGCUGCCCAAAGUCGCCAAAAGUCCUAUAUAGGUGUUAGGCGUAGAGACUUGGAGUUUAAAGUUGGGGAUAAGGUUUUCCUCAAGGCAUCUCCCAUGAAGGGAGUAGUGCGGUUUGGCAAGAAGGAAAAGCUCAGUCCCCGAUAUAUUGGUCCUUAUGAGAUUUUACAGAGAGUGGGUAAUGUUGCUUAAGAUCUAAAGUUUUCUUAUAUCUUGAGCUUAGUUCAUCCAGUCUUUCAUGUUUCUAUAUUGAGAAAGUGCAUUGGUGAUCCUUCUUCAGUUAUUCCUUUAGAAUGGUUGGCUCUCACAGAUUCUUUAUCUUAUGAAGAGGUUCCAAUUGAGAUCUUGGAUAGGUAGUUCGUCGAUUAUGGACAAAGGAUGUGGCUUCGGUUAAGGUUCUUUGGUGGAACCAUAAGGUGGAAGAAGCUACAUGGGAAUCAAAAGAGGACAUGAAGUCUAAAUAUUCGCAUUUGUUUUUUGUUCUUGGGAUUCUUGCAGAAGGUAUAUGUAUUCAACACGUCUUUGUUUUCAAAGUUUGUCAAAAGAAAGAUUUAUAUAUUUGCCUCUUUGUUUUUGAACUUUGUUAAAGAUUGGGAAUAUCUUUGAUAAUGCAAAUGACUCUAGCGUAUGGUUACCCUUACCUUGUCCGUCAUUCAGGGAUAAAUGUUCCCCUAGUGGGGAAGACUGAAACACUCUAGUUUUUGAACCUUUGAAAAUUUCUUGAAAUUCUAAUCUUUGAACCCAAUAUGACUCAUGAGUACGAGCCGUAUGUAGGGGUACGGAUGGCAUGGUCCAGUCGUAUACUGACCAGUGUUGGUUGGUGGGAUGGAUUUUGUUUACUAAAAUAGAUACGACUUAGGCGUAUGAGUCGUAUUGGUGGUUACAGAUUAUUUGGUUCCUUAACUUAAUCUUAGACUUGGUUAAUUAGGUUGGAUCUGAGUACAAGUGGCUCACCAUAAGCCGUAAGCCAGGGUACGAAUCGUACCAGGGACUUGUAUGGUAAACAGUGUCCAAUCCUCCUGGUAUUUUAUUCUGCUAGGGAUACGGGUCAUGGAUGAUUCGUAUAAUGGAAAGUGUUUUCAAGGGUUGAGGCUUGGAUACCAAUCGUAUUGGGAGGGUAUGACUCGUAAGGGUCAGUCAUAUCCCUACGAUGGAAUUUUGGGCAACUUAAGUGAGGGUAUUAUAGAUAUUUUCCUACUUAUCCUAUUAGGGUUCCAUGACUUCUAACCUACCUAGAAGGUUAUUUAUCCUAAUAUUCUAUUCAUUAACACUUAGAAACUCUUCCUAAGCACUUCAUAAUUCUCUUAAGAGCUAUUGGGAAAGGAAAGCUAGGGUUUUAACUAGGGGAUUAUCUUGGUGAUUUCUUUCCAUCGUCAUCUUGGUUUAAGGCAUAUUUCUCUCCACUCAUUGUUAAUUUAUUUAAAGGCAUGGUUUAUAUGAAUGUUUUCAUGGCUUUAUGAUUGUAUGGCUUUGGCUUUCAAAUAUGAUUUUAUUUGGGAGGGGGGUUGAUGUUAAUUGCUUGGUUAUGGUUUCUCGUGGUUUUAAUUAUGCUUUUAUAUGCAUUAAUAGUGGUUUUGGAUAAUUGGAUUGAAUGAGAAUGGUUUAUUAGUAAUUGGAAUUGGUUUUGGUUAUAUUAUAUCCCCAAUGUGUUUGACAAAAUGCUUAUAAAGAUAUGUUCAUUGCAUUGACUUUUUUUAAGGGAACUCUUGCAUGUUUUAAACUUGGUAAAAGAACUAUGCAUGUUUUAACUAGUUUUGAAAGGCUAAAGGCUAGGUGCUUAUAGGGAACAUGGAAGUCUCCCAAGUGGUUUAAAACGGUAAAUGGAAAGGCACUUGAAAGUCUCUUUAAACCUAUAAAUGGUUGGCUAUGGAUGAUACUUGCAAGUAAGGGUUGGUAUGACGAUACCAAUAUCAAUUGCCUUGAUUAAUAAAUGGAUAAUGGUUUGGUUAUUUGGAAAUUGAUUUUAAUUGGGCAAUAAUGGUGGUAUGUAUAGCAAAGCCGUGGAAGGUGGAGGUAUCGAGGGGACCGAAACUAGAAACUCAUACUUACUGAUAUGAGGUUGGUCUUGGUGACUGUGUGCAAGAUGUCACACUUUGUUUUUAGGAUGUACUAGUCAUCCCAUGGGAUACUUCGUUGGUCAUGCGUCUACACACACUCGGGCUCUUUCAAUAGGGGGAGUUGAACCCAUAUAGCCUAUGGGUGGUUUAAGACAGCAAAGCUACACAACCCAGGUAAAGGUUUUAAAAGCAGUCUAAAACCGGGACCAAAACUAGAAACUCAUACUUGUCGAUAUGAGGUUGGUCUUGGUGACCGUGUGCAAGAUAUCGCACUUUUUCUUGGGGAUGUACUAGUCAUACCAUGGGAUACUUCCCUGGUCACGCACUGGGGCCCUUUCAGCAGGGAAAGUUGAACCCAUAUAGCCCGUGGGUGGUUUAGGAUGGCAAAGCUACACAACCCAGGUAAAGGUUUUAAAAGCAUGCUAAACUCGGUCCCAUUUUCCGGCAUGGAUAUAUAUAUAUGUGUGUGUGUGUGUGCGUGUGUGUGUGUAUAUGAUUGUAUGCAUCAUGGAUGGUUUUACUUGGUUUUAUAAAUGGCAUUAUUUUAUCCUUACCCUGAGAUCAUACUAGUAGUCACUCGUUAACCCUGGCAGUUGUAUACGCACGCUAUACAAGAACCAACCGUUCUACUCCAUCUCGUACAUAGUGAUUAACUCGGGGACAGUAUUUGGACUGAAAUAGUGAGCUUCUAUCCUUUCGAAAGACAUUAUUUCAUGUUAUGAUAUUUUUAGACAUUUUGACUUUAUUUUAGAUAUUGGUUUUGGCUAUAAUUGGAGGCAUGUCCAAAUCAGAUUUGAUUAUUCUUUUGGAUAGAGGCUUUGUGGUACUUCUAUGGGUUGAAAUGGGUAGGAUCGGUAUUGGUGUUGGCUUUGGCAUUGGAAUAAGCCGGUGGGCUGACAUCAUAGGACGAUAUUAUUGUUUGUUCCAUCCUAUUACAUUUUGGGAUUAAUUAUAUUAUGUUUUGGAACAUCCUUGGUUAUGGUCUGGUUUAUGGCAUUUGUUUGGUAAUGUUUGGUAAGGUUGGACUAUUGGUAUGGAAGGGGUGCACUAAGUUGGGUUGGUCACGGUUGUGAUCUAUUCCCAGAGUCCUUAUGUGAGCUGUUACACUAUUUUGUUACAUGCUUGUAAUUCAGCUAACUUAGGGAAGGUGGCUAGAGGUUGGGUUGGGUAACGGGGGUGGUCUCCUAUCUUGGUUGGACUUGGGAUGCCUAUUAUGACAAGGCCCCAGGGCAGGUAGUGUUAGAAAUUCAAAAAUAGAGGUCCAUUUCUUCAUCAAAAGUGGCAUCCCAUUCAUAUAGUAUGGUCCACAAGACAAGAUAUUAACCUUGUCCUAAGUAUGUUUAAAUUUGUCAAUGUAGAACCCUUUCUCAUGAUAGAACAACUCAUGCAUUGAUACAGUAUUCCAAACUUUAGCUAUAUAUGAUUUCAAAUAUGCAUAACUAGGAGCCUCUCCCAUAGUGUACAAGAUCAAAGCACUACUCUAUUCAUUCAUAUAAUAUGUUACAUCUUCUUUUUUCUAAUGUAACAGUUAUUUUUCUAUCAAUCACCAUUGGAGCAACAUAAGUGAGAGACAUACCAUGUGCUGCAGUACGAUUUUGUGUAAAUAAGCUUACCCAAUUUGCCUCUACACCUGUCCCUUUCUGCUUUAGCUGAGAUCUCUCUGGUAUAGAGCUUACUGGCCUUGGAUUCAUAAAAUUACUCAAACUUUCUUCUUCCUGAGCUUUGCUAGACGCUGUUUGCUUUCCUUUGUCACUCAGGUGUAUCAGAUCUGCAUCAUCCUCUUAUAAUGUCAACUCAGUUACAGUUUUAUUAGUUACUAUAAUCUUACUUGCUUCGAAUUCAUCCACUUCUUCCUCUAAGUCUCGAAUUGGUGCAUCGUCCUCCGCAUCCUUAGUUUCUUCCUAACCUCAAUCUCCUUCUUCUGUGGUCGAGCUCUGAUACGCCCAAAUUACACCUCUCUUAUGAGAGAGUAAGCGAUUGCUGUUAAAUAUAGAACCCAACUGGGUUGGGUGUUGAAUCCCACAGAGAAUACCAUGUUUACUAAGUAUUGUGAAUAUUAUUAGACUGUUGAUCUAAGGUUCCUGAGUAGAAGGGAGUUUGAAUGUGUUAACAAUGUUCUUUUGUAUUUGUGUCACACAAAAGUCCAGCUACUGAGAGUUAAUGUAGAUGUAAUUUCAAUGAGAAUGAAUUAACUAGAGUUAUGCUCACUAAGAUAUUCAAACAAUUAGGGUUGUGAGUUUGUGUUUGAAUUCUAACUUAUGUAUUCAAUUGCAAGAAUUAUUGAAUUCUAAGGAUUACCCACGUGUUUCUCAACCUAAUGAGUAUUUCACCCUUUACUUCUCUCGAACUUAAAGGAUUCAUGCAUUAUUUAAUAACACUCUCAUGAGGGUUGAUCCUGUUAAGGCAUCAACCCAUUAACCCCAAAGGAUAAACCUUUGGAGUUCAUGUGAAUCACUUUUUUCCCAACAUCCACUUUCUUGUCAGACAAGUGGAGUUCAUGGGCUCACUUCUCAAGUUUGCAACAAGAGAUGUCAUUAUAAUGAAGAAAGAUUCUUGCAAUUUCGAUAGAUGUUAGAAAUCAAACCAAUUCACAACCCCAAAAUAGUUCUCUACAUCAAGGCUCCCAUAACCCUAGUUAUGAGAGUUUAGCUACUUAUCUCCAUCUAAGAAAUCAAAGAUAUUUUGAUGUUCAUAAAUGACUUCAAUAGGGCACUUACAAAAGUCACAAUAUUGUUCUUCUCAAUCUUCAAUGGAAAAUAUAAAAACUAAUAAUCAAAUCUCAAUCUCUAGAUUCAAAUCUCAAUGAAAAGUGUUACACAACUGUCAAUAGAGGAGAAAGUAUGAAACUAAUGAUAUAGGAUACGGACUAAACCUUAAUACUUAGUAUUUAUAUAAUUUCAAAACUGGGGUUUUAAAAUUCAAACUCAGAUUUUUUGCUUUAUGGUCGACGGGUUAAGCUACGGUUCGUCGCAGGUCCGAUGGUCCGUCACCUGCACCGUCGCUGGGUCUCCAGUGACUUCAUUCUCUGCUUCUGGGAGACGGGUAGUGCGACGGCCCUUCACAAGGUCGACGGUCUAUCACCUGGAUCGUCGCAGGGCUUCCAGUGAUUAUGCGUUCUGUAUCUUGGCAACAGUUCAUCGCAGAGCCGACGGUCUGUCACCUGGACCGUCGCAGGAUGUUCAAAUUCUAUGACAUCUGAUUUUGGUUGAUGGUUUAGACCGACGGAUCAUCGCAAGGUGACGGUCCGUCACCUAAGCCAUCGCUGCUCAUGUUACCUCUGUUUUGCUCAGAUUGUCCAAGUUAUCUUUCACACUCAGUUCUUAUCCUGAAAGCACUAAAAUACCAUGUUAAAUACAACAAUGGCUGCUUGAAAACACACAAUUAUCCUAAGAAAAAGACCUAAAAUGUUCUAUCAAAACCCAGAACAUCAAACUCGUCCUCAUCUCGCCAUCGAUGCGCACGUUAGCAAGAAGGGAUAAACAUGUGUUGGGAGAAAAGAAUUUUUCUAAUUCAAAUUAACUUUUAAAUUAGUUGAAUUGGCGAAUCAAAAUUAGUUGAACUAAUAUUAUUUGGUUUUGCUAGUUAGAGGAGCAGACAAGAUGCACUUUUAUCAACCCUAAUUUUAAAUUAAAAGUCCAUCUGGUCAUGAAAUUUUUUUACCUUUUUCUGAAGUUGUGGAAACACAUUUACCCAUUAAAUUUUUAAAAAUUUUGCUAUUACUUUUUCACCUAAAUAAUCCAUAAUAAAAAAAAAACUCUAAUUCAUUUCAUCAUUAAACAUAACUCUAAUUUCUAAAUAUCAUUUUUCAUUUUACAAAUAAUUUUUUUUUAUUUUUACAAUGAAACAUGGUCACACACCUAGUAAAUAUUUUUUAUAAAUUAAAAGUGUACUUAAAUAGCACAUAUAAAUCGGCUACCGAGUGUACUUCCUAAAAAUGAAAUGGAAGAGAAAAUAAGCAGAAAAUUUCAUGUAUGACUCCCAUAGUUGGUUGCUUUAUUUUUUUGUCCCCUAUAAUAAAAGUCUUUAAUGACUAGCCUUCUUUCUUUUUAUAUAUAGAAUGAGUACAUUUUUAUCCUUCUACAUCACAAAAUAUUUUUACACUUUUCAUACUCAUUUGUCUCUCAACUUUAAUUUUUAUUUUUAUUUUUAUUUAUUUUUAAUUUCUUUCUUAAUUUUUUUUCAUAUUUUAAUUUAUUUGUCUCAACCUUUAUUUUUUUUCUCAAAUAUUAUUUAUUUUUUUUUUAUUUUUUUUAAUUCAUUUGUCUCAAUCUUUAUUUUUUUUAAUCUUUUGUGUUUAUCUUUUCUCAUUUUUUUUCUCAAACUUUAUUUUUAUUUUUUUCUUCUCAACUUUGUUUUUCUCAAUCUUUUUUUUAUUAUUAUUUUUUUUAUUCUUCUCUUUCUUCUUUUUUCUUUUUUCUUUUUUCUUAACCUUUUUUUUUUCAUUUUUUUUUCUCUAUCUUUAUUUUUUUUUCUUUCAUCUAUUUUUCUUAUCUUUUUAUUUUUUGUCUACUUCUAUUAUAUUUUACUAAUAAACAAAAAUUGGAUAAUUGCCUCUAAAAAAAAAUAUAGAACAUUUCAUAAAUCGACACAAUAUGAUAGUGUCAACACUUAGCCAUGGAGCGUAACUUGUUGUUUGAAGUCCUUUACCUGAGUCUUGCUUCUGAGGCAAGAGUUAUAUAACAUCUCAUAAAUCAAAAUAUAAUGUGAUAGUAUCAAAUCUUGUCCAUGGAGUGUAACUUAUUGUUUGAAAGUCUUUGGGCUAAGUAUUGCCUUUAAGGCAAGAGUUAUAGAGCAUAUCAUAAAUUAAAAUAUAAUGUGUUAGUGUCAACUCUUACUCAUGGGGCAUAGCUUAUUGUUUGAAAGAUAUCAAUGAAAAAAAUAGAAAAUAGAAAAUAAUACAAGUUGAGGAAAAUAAUAAUAAUAAUUUUUUUAAGAAAGGAAAAAAUAAAAAUUAGAGAAAAUAAAAAAGAGAAAAAAAAAGAGCUGAGAGGAGAAAAGGGAGAAAAUGCAAGUUGAGAAAAAAAGAAAAAAACAGAGAAAGAAAGGAUAAAAAAUAAAAAAAUAAAUAAAGUUGAGAAAAAUAUAAACCAACAAAGUAUAAAAAGGAGAAAGAAAUAUUAAAAAAAUAGAAGUUGAAGGAGAAAAGGAAAAAAAAGUAAAGAUUGAGAAAGCAUUAAAAAAAGAGAAAAAAAUAAAAAUCAAUGUAAAAUAAAUAUUUUUCAUAUAUAUGUUGGAACGGAUGCAAAAUCUUUCUUGAGAGCUAAUUGAAUGUAUAACUGAUGUCUUGCGUUAAUUUUAUAUAUAUAUCAAAUAAAAAACUAAUAAUACAGACAAAAAAUAUAUUUUUUUAGUACACUCUACCAAACGAUCCCUAAAUUCACCCACUAUAGCUGUCAUUUUUAUAGUUUUGCCAAACUAACUGUGGGUGGUGGGUCACUCAAACCCAGUGGCCCAAUACUUUGAAUUUGAAUACUUUAUUAAAACGGAGACCGCCCUUUGAGAAUUUGAAUUUGAAUAACUAAUCUCAAAACCCACUUUUUCUUCCAACGGAUACAGAGUGAGCGAGAGUGUGUGCGUGUGUUACAAAGGGUAAAAAACAUUUUUGAAUUUUGGAGUUUGAUCUUCACCUAAGGUUCGUAAAUCUUAUUCUUCAACCAGCGGAAAUUAUCAAAGGUAUUUGUGUAAAUAGAUAUAAUCCAUGUAAUCCUUCUUGUUCUUUCUUCUAUGCAACUACAUAAUUCUUUGACUUCUUUUUUGUGUUUUUUAGUCCAUUUUCGUUUAAAAAGGAAAAAUUGGGGUGGUGAAAGUGGAUGCCAAGGUUUAGGGUAGUAGGUUAGUAGAUAGUAGUGUGUUGUCUUGUUAUCUGUUCUUAUACUAGUAUUUGUAGUAUUGCUCAUAUACUAGUAUUGUUUCGUGUACUUCAAUUAUUGUACUAGUUUGCUUUAUUUUGCUUUCACUUUCGGUAAUUUUUUAUUUUGAUUGCUUUGAAUUGUUUUUUUCUUGAGCCAAGGGUCUACCGAAAAACAACCUCCCUGGGUAAAGUUUGCAUACACUCGAACCUCUCUAAACUCCACUUUAUGGGAGUACACGGUAUGUUCGUUGUUGGGGUAGGUAAAGUGGAAAUGAGGUGGGGCAUGGGGGGAUUAUAAGGUGGGAACUCGAAACCUCACCAAAAAAGUUUAAGUUGAGUUAGUCAACCAACUCAUCUACUAAAAUCACACCCUUUUUUUUUCUGAAAAAAUAAAAAUUGGGGGUAGGAGAAAGGGGAAGGGGAUUACAAGGUAGAAAAUCGACCUCACCGGUAAGAUGAAAGUUCAGGAAGCAAAUCCACUAAGCUACUAAGAUUUCUCCCAUUUUUGGAUUUACUUUUGUUGUAAGUAUUAUUUUAAAAAAAAAAAAAAAAAACUUAAUGAUCUUAGUCAUUCUUACUCUAAAUUUGAUUAUUCUUACCAGAAAAGAGGAGGAUUUAAGUUGUAUUAUCACAUAUCUAUUCGUACUGUGUUCUUAGGUAAGAGCUCCUAGUCAGGAGAGUUUGGGUGUGGAGGGUGUCUCUGGCCUGUGAGUGUCUGUUACUACUAGGUGGGUGUCGUUUUUCGGAUGCCCUAUUUCUUAUCUCUUAUUGCACAUUGCACUUGGUUACCUUAUCUCAUAUUGCUUUGAUUUAUAUUUAUGUCUUAAUCCUUUUUAUUUGAUGUUAUCCAUCUUACUUCAUGUUUCAUUACGCUUUUGUUUAUUAUUCCUUAUCUUGAGCCGGGGGUCUAUCGGAAACAACCUCUCUACUUCUUUGGAGGUAGCGGUAUGAACUGAGUACACUUUACUCUUCCCAAACCCCAACUUGUGGGAAUACACUGGAUUUGUUGUUGUUAUUGUUGUUGUAUCACAUAUGUAUUAGUAGUUUUAAAGCAUAAUGUCAGCGAAUAGAACUUGAAGCCUAAUUUAAAUGGAUGGUUAAGUUAGGAAUUUGGUAUAAUAUUGAUUAAAGGGAACGUUUUGGUAUUAAUGGAGCUGAGUUCUUUCUGGAAUUGAUGAGUUUUUUGUAUUAAAUAGUUAAAAUUCCUCAAUUUCUGAGGUGCUUAACUGAUAAUUACCUAACUAAAUGAAGUUAUCAGUUUUAGAAAAAUAAUAAUAAUUACAUAACUAAAUAAGGGCUUUUCUCAAAAAACUUAUUCACAUUCUUGGGUAGGUGCUUAACCACUUUCAGAUACGCAAGAUCGAUAAACAAAGAUUAAAAGAAAAGGGAUAUAUCCCCAUGAUAAUGAAUUAUUCAUAGAACAAGUCAAAGUGUACAACAACAACAUACCCAGUGAAAUCCCACAAGUGGGGUUUGGGGAGGGUGGAUUGUCGGCAGAUUUAUCCUCUCAGAUCACUCUGCCUGUGUGAGCUCGUUCACAUUAUCGGUCCGAAGCCUGGAUAAAGGAUGAGGGUUGCCUACGGUCUAUCAGAAACAAGCCACUCUAUCCAAUAAAGGGUAGGGGGUAAGGCUGCUUGCAUCUUACCCUCUUCAGACCCCAGUUGUGACCUAUGGGAUUACACUGAGAUUUUUGUUGUUGUUGUUGAUUUAUGCUCUCAGUUGCAAAACCUUGAAUGAGUUCAAACUUUUUCUUAAUGUUCCUUACAGAGGUAGAUGAGUUGUUCCAUAAAAAGAAGAAACAUUUGUUCAAAAUAUUAAUCUGGGAUGCUGUUUAUUGAAAAAGUUAGUACUUUGUUCGACAAGACUACAAUUUUAAAAUGCUGAUGUCAUUUAUUUUAUUGUUGUUAAAUAAACAGGUUCUGUUGUCCCCCGGCAUUAAUAUGCAAAUGGAUGGUCUUAAAACAUGUCAAACAGAAAACUAUUCAACUCCUGGGAAAGUACAGCAGCUAGAAUCCUCUGUGGUCGCGAAAGUUAGAGUUAUUGUUAGAGUUCGCCCCUUUCUUCCUCGAGAAAGAAACUCUAUAGAUGGAAAAACAAUCUCUUGUGUUUCUGUUCUCAACUCAGAAUGUCAGUCUUCUGAUGAUGUUACAGUUCAUCUCAAAGAUCAUGAAACUAGGUAAUUUUUUCCUCAAUUGUUGGCAUGUUCUAAGAUUAAAUCUGUCACCAGAACCUUAUCCUGGGUACCCUUUUGUUUUUGACUGUAGUCGUAAUGAAUGCUACAAGUUGGAUGCCUUCUUUGGUCAAGAAGAUAACAAUAUAAGUCAAAUAUUUAGCAAAGAAAUCAGUCCUUUGAUCCCUGGGAUAUUAGAAGGCCGCAAUGUCACGGUAUUUGCUUAUGGUGCUACAGGGAGUGGCAAAACUUACACCAUGCAGGUAUGUUUUAUUUGUCUGCAUAACACACAAUUUGCUUCAUCACUCCUGCAAUUGGAUUAGAUGCUAAAAUAUACACGCGGAGUAGGAGACAUAGAGUUUUAAGUUAUAAUGGACUCAAUGUUUCUUUUCAAGUCUUCCGCUGUUCUACAACUUCUGUAACAUAGAUCCACGAGUGAUCAAAGGACAUAUUGGACUUUUCAGAUUGCAACCAUGCAUAAGCUUAGCCCAUAUAUGCAGCCAUUUGGCCUUAACCUAAAACUUUUCCAUUUGACCUCUUCAAAGAUAUGUAUGUCAAGUAUAUAGUUCCCUUCAGGCCUUCCUAAUUCCUGGAUGUGCAUGUGAAUUGUUUUGAAAAACCUUGUUGCUGAUGCAGGGAUCUGAAAAUCUCCCUGGUCUAAUGCCACUUGCAAUGUCCUCUAUUCUCUCGAAGAUUCCAGGGAAAAGUACCAUAACCAUUUCAUACUAUGAAAUAUACAUGGAUAGGUGCUAUGAUCUACUUGAACUUAAGGAGAAGGAAAUCUUGAUAUUGGACGACAAAGAUGGGCAGAUUCAUCUCAAAGGCCUUGCACAAGUUGCCAUUAGUUCAACGUCAGAGUUUCAAGAAGCAUUUUCCUGUGCAGUUCAGAGGAGAAAGGUUGCACAUACGGGUGUUAAUGAUGUCUCCAGCAGGAGUCAUGCAGUGCUCACAAUUUAUGUUUCUACUCCAAGCUGUGAUGAUACUGGAAAUGUCAUCACUGGGAAGUUGAACCUUAUUGACUUGGCAGGUCUUAAAAAUUUACUAAACCUAACCAUGAAUUGUUGUAAGAAUAUUGAACUGAAAAGUAACUCACAUGCUGUAACUCUAAUGUCACUGAAUUAGGAAACGAAGACAAUAGACGAACUUGCAACACUGGAAUUCGUCUACAAGAGAGUGCUAAGAUCAACCAGUCCUUAUUUGCACUGUCAAAUGUGAUUUAUGCAUUGAACAACAAUCAACCACGAAUACCUUAUAGAGAAAGCAAAUUGACAAGGGUAUUGCAAGACUCUCUUGGAGGAACAAGCCGUGCUUUGAUGAUUGCUUGCUUGGUAGGAUAUUGUAUACAUCAUCUCUUGCCUUUGAGUUCCAUGAAUGCAACACUGUUCUUAAGAUUGCCAACUAUUUUCAUUUGUUCAUAGAACCCUGGAGAGUACCAAGAAUCUCUUCAUACAGUUAGCCUGGCAGCCAGGUCAAGACAUAUAUCCAAUUUUGUUGCCUCAGCACAAAAAGGAGAUACUCCAAAGGUCAAAGUAGACAUGGAGGCAAAGCUUCGUGCAUGGCUAGAAUCUAAAGGCAAGACAAAAAGUACUCAGAGAAUUGGGGCAUUUGAUUCUCCAUUUACAAGCAAAACUCCAAGUUCCGUAGGUUCUACUAGGAAGCUAGGUUUGUUUGGGAGCUCCUCCAAGCAAAAAUCUAUCAGUAAUCAAGGCGCUUCAAGCAUAAAAAAGAAGUAAGAGAUUACUCUAUGAUCUUGCUUAUUUCUCUAUUACUCUAUUAUCUUGCUGGAUUUACCUGCCUUUGAUUUUGAUGAUUGCUUAACUGUGUUGAACAGGGAUCCAGAUGGAGCUUGUAGAAAUUUAUUUAAAAAUGGACAUCGAUCAAACUUAGUAGUGGAGGUAAAAAAAAAUGAGAACUAUAAUUUCUUCCUAGCUCGUUUUGAGUUUAUGAUGAAGCUAUUUGCUUUAAAUUGAAUAAAAUUCAUUUACGACAGACUCUAUUCAUUGUAGGUCUUUUUUUAAACUUAGCUACUGUAUAUGUGAUUUGAUUUUGAAUGAAAAUGAACCGGUAACCAUGAAACUUCAGUAUAGGAUUACUCAACUUUGUGUUGAUGUAACUAAUGUCUGAUAGCUUGAUAAGCUCUCAAAGGAAACAACAAUUCCUAAAUUUUGGUCAUCCUUAUCACAAAGAAAAUCACUCAGUUUGGUAUGUGAUAAUUAAUAGCUAAGAAGAAUUUUAAUAUAAUCUUUUGAAAGGACAACAGAACAAUUUGACCACACUUUUCAUUAUGGAAGAAUUGGAUUUAAUUAAUAAAUCGUUUUAAGUUGGAUUUCUGCAUUGACGUGCAAAUGCAGGCUUGGGACCUUGCUGAUACUGGUGGACAAAGAGGAGCGAAGAAAUUUGAAGUUUUCUCUGAAAGGGUUGUGCCUGAUUCUAAUACAGCAGUAAAUGGUACUUUUUUAAAAAAAAUUUCUAACCCAGCCUUCAUUGAUCAUUGAUGUGCAAAAAGUUAGAAGUUAAGUCUGGCAUCUCAAACUGUAUACAAGAUCAUUGAGAUGAGGCUAAUAUAGAAGUGUUAAUCCUACCCAAAAAAAGCCUAAGAGGCCAAGGACUCUAAGGGGGGGUCGUAUACAAUGUCGUUAUCCGUAACGUCUUUGGUUCUUAGGGACGGGAUACCCAUCUAUCCAAGUUGGUAGGACCUUUCACUUCGAGGGGCAAGACAGCGAAGGAGUUGAAAAUUUGAAUCUCACUACUUCUAUGACUCAAAUAGGAGAGCUUGUCAGCGGGCUUAUUAGCCUCUCUAAAGCAAUGAGUAAUAUGGGAGUCACUAUCUUCAACUAGUUUCUGAAUAUCAUCAACAAUUCUAGUUGUCUUCCACGGAGUCUUCCAAACUUCUUUAUGCAAUUCGGUAGAAGAAGAGAGUCAGUUUCUCCCCAAACAGGUCUGGGGUCAUUAUUCAAGCACCACCUCAAGCCAAAUAACAUAGCAGCAGCUUCGACAUAGUUGCUGGAACCUGGGCCUAAUGGUAUCACGUAGGCAAAAACAAUCUUUCCUGCGCUAUCUCUUACCAUUCCACCUUCCCCACAAUUUCCAUUAAUACAACUUCCAUCACUGUUGAGUUUUAACAAAUUCACUUGAGGUCUAAUCCACUUGACGAUGGUAGCUUUUGUUUGAUGUAUAUCUCGAUCACAGGCCUGGCGGAUUGUGUUCCGAGUGUCUCCAAUCCUCGCACUCUCAAAUCUCUUCCUCAAUAACUGCAAAAGUUUGAAUAAUGCAUUAGAGGAGGAUUGGUAUAAUGAAGGUCUUUCUCCUUCAUAUUUAUUAGGACAUCUGGCGUGAGAUUGGUAUAAUGAAGGUCUUUCUCCUUCAUAUUUGUUAGGACAUCUAGCAAGCCAGAUUUCCCAACAAAUAAAUGCAGGAAUAAUUUUCAUUAUAGUGAGCAAAAUGGGUUCUUGGUUUUGUGGUUCCACCAAUUGAGAAGGGUGAACUUCAAAUUGGGGUCACUCGUGCUUAUCCAUAGAGGACCUGCAAAAAAUGACCAUAACCAUAUCUCAGUUUUUGCAGUCUGCUUCAUGUAUUCUUCAUAUUAUUCUAUGUAGCUUACUCAUAUUAAGCUAACAAGCACGUGACACUCUCCAACUAUAUAUGUGCCAAAGCUAGUUCUAGUGUUCUCUAUUAAUUCUUGCAACAUCUAGACACUUUUUCAAUGAUGUUGGUGCCAAAGCUAGUCCUCUAUUUUUCUAUCGAUGUUCUCAUAGAGAGUCAUUGAAUAGCUAGUUUAUUAGCAAACUUUCGCUGAUAUACCUAAAACGUUUGAUCUAUCUGACCUGGCUUAUUUUCAUGGUAUUAGGUGUUCGUUGAGUUUCUUACUUUUUAAUAUAAGAUUGCACAUCCCUUUGCGUGACUUGUUAUAAUUAAAUUUUCAUUUUUCUUGAACUUGCUCCGUUUUAGAUUAGCCAAUCUCAGGCGGCCCAUUUCACAAAGAUUUUAAUUAGCCGAUCCCACUGAGCUCCCGGUGUGCUUUCCCCCUCUUUAAAGUAGUUUAAGGGUCGUUACAAAAUCAUUUUCCCCCUCCACUAUAAAAUUGAACCUGAAAAUAGCUCUCAUCUUCGUGUUCUUUCACUUAAACUAGGAGGCAUUCAUACUACUAUCACAUCCCUAACCCCAUAAGCCAUUUAAACCAAUGUCUAAAUCUUUUCAUUUACAUAUGUAACUCAGUUGGAGUUUAUUUGUCUCAUCUUCUCUAUUUGCAGAUAGCUGUGAAAAUUCGUACUUGUUAAAAAUUUUCAAUAUGUAAAUAUAAUAUAUCUUGCAUACCAGCAUUCAAACAAAAUUUGAAGAUUUUUGUCUGUUUGGUCCUCGUGUAGAUGUACAAACCAAUGCAGAGGAGAAAGUGACCAUCGUUGAUUGUUUCAACUCCCUUGGAGCAUGUGAGGUUACUCCUAGGAAUGUCCUUUCUCCCAUCAACUCCAACAUCAACAAUGAGAAUUUGUUAGCGAAGGAUCAAACACACCUCAUCUGCAAUCAGCAGACUCCCAUGUCAUCCUUUGCUUUAAGCAGUUUUGAUGAGAAUAUACCAGCAUUAGGAACUCCACUGGAUAAAUUCAGUGCACGAAGUUCUAACUUAAAGGUGAGAAGGGACUCCUGUUGUCGUUAUAUUCUGAUCUAAGUUGCUCGGGCUCUCCAAAUAUGUUGCCACACCAGUAUCAGAUUCUUCAAAAAUACACUAUUCUCGAAGGAUCCGAGAUGCACCCGUCAACAUUUUUGGAGUCCUAUAAACAUAGAUUCUGAUUGUUUAGCAUUUCUGGUUAUAAUAAUUAUCUCUGUUGAGUAUACAGAACUCUCUUGUCCAAGAGUACAUUGAGUUAUUGAACACAGCCAGCAAGUGAGUGUUAUUCUCUGUCUUCAUUUCCCUUUUACGUUUUCCAUUUCUUCUUUCUUCAUGGAGAAUUAACUUUGUUGUGUUACAUUACAUUGUGUUAGGGAGGAACUCAUGGCGAUAAACGUACGCUAUUGAUCUCUUCACUCUAUUCUAACAUUGUCAUCACUAUAUCAGCAAUGAGUUUUGAGUGCAUUUUCACAUGAUUCUAACGUUGUCAUCGCUUAUAGUUACUGUAACCUUGACUGCAUCUUUCAUAUCAUCCAGGGGAUUGGACAAAAGAUGGCUGAAUACAUUAUUGAUCUAAGGGAAACAAGUCCCAUGAGAUCAGUAAGAAACUCUUUCUUAAGGUCUAUGACGUUGCAUAUUCUUGGUUUAGGACUGAAUAAAACUAAACCUACUUACCUGAUUUGUGCAGCUAGAUGACUUGGAGAAGAUUGGACUGACAUCAAAGCAGGUAAUGCUGUGCAAUGUAUCAUUUGCAUUUCCAUUUUACUUUCUUAGUGUCAUUGCAGUAUAUGCAGCGUUUCUAUAGAGUAAAUGUGAGUUUAUGGAGUAAUAAUGAAGUGUUUUGCCGAUACCCCUAUAGGUUCAUAACUUAUUCAGGUGGGCUGCGAGAGGAGUACUGGGAUGAAAAACUUCUCUGCAACACCUUGUUUUAGGGACAUGUAGAUGAAACAUUGUGUUUCUGGCUAGAACUUCAGUUGUAUUGUAGUAUUAUUUAUGAGUAAUUGGAUUUGAGAGCUUGUAUUAAUUACCUUUCACCCCCCUCAAAUGACGGUUCUCAGUCCCUGUUGUACCAAUUCCAAUCAUAGAUUGUUCAGAAUUUCAGCAGUUCAUAGUUAUUACUCGUUUAUUGAGUUGCAGCUAUCACCAGAUUUCUCCAACUUGUACGUUCCAGAGAAAAAUUGACGCAAAGGCUAGUUUAGAACAAUGUCAUCUAGUUAUUUUCGUGCUGUUGCAGCCUCAAUACAAUUCUGACCGUCCUUUCUCUUCUUUUACGUGCAACCCUUGAUGUUUUAAUCCUUUGCUCCUUCCUUUUCUUGCUCUAUUGCGUUAUUGAAUAGCCUCUGAACCACCCCAUUAUUAGCAGCGUUCCUUAGGGAGAGGUGUCUAAACUAAUACUUAUUUUUCAGACUUAACAGGAUGGACCAUUGCAAUAGUUAUCGAUUUGGCAUUCAGAUAUAUCCCCCAUCUCUUAAAUUCAUCUUAGUUUAAUUCAAAAAAAUAGUAAUCUAAACCUUCUUCAGAGACGCAUAAUAUCACAGCCACCUCACUUUUUGAGUCGACAAUGGCCUUAAGGUGGGUGGCACCACCCUCCACACAAGCACCGCCUGGUGAAGGGGUAGUGAGGAAAGCUAUAGACCCAAAACCUUCUAACUUCCUUUCUAAAUGGGAGUGCCCAAGGCCACCCUCAUCUUCUAAUUUCAUAGUUGCUUAUUCCCAUUAGGCCAGAGUACACACCAACCAUUACAGCCCAAAGAAAUAGAAUGAAUAGUUUUCAGUUCAAAAAGCAAAAUAGAGAGAGGAAUCAAACUGCACUAUUUUCUCAAUAAGUGAACAGAUAAAGGAUCAGAUACCUGCACGAUAACGAAUACUCACACAUCUAACAAGAUUAGCAAAGAAUCUAAAACGAAUGAACUGUCACUACCACUAAUCAGUUCUUGAUAUUUGUGUUGGAUUUAUUAAAAAAACCAACAAUCACACAAAAAAUGGUAUAUUAGGCAUAUACCAGAUAAGGAAAAUAAUCACUUUUUCAUGAGAUUUACUAAUCCUGAAACUAUUUUACUCCCAACUGUACUAAAAUGGUGAAAGUGGGAUAAUAUAGUCGCAUGAGAUAUCCAUACUUAUUCCAUCUCGGGUAAGAAACGACAAGGUUAUAAUGAACAGACAGAAGCACAAGGAAAUGGAAGAGUUUAGGGAAAUAUUACCAAGGAAGUUCUUAAAUUAGCUGAAAGCACAACAUACUUCCAAACUAGUAUGUUAAAAUUACCAGAUGCAGAGAAUGCUCAUGUUACACAAACACCACAUUACCACUACUUACAAACAUGUUUCAAUACUCCAUUACUAUUUCUUAUUACAGGGAAAAAAAGAACAACACAAUCUUUUUCCCUGUUGCAACAGACACACAAACUAUUAAACUACACACAUAUUAAACCAUGAACUCUGCUCUGUUAUAAUAGCUUAGUUUAUUCACUUGUUACAAGUGCAAGGGUUGC
rnacentral:lncRNA from 1 species